GACGAGCACGCCGCGUGAGUGAAGAAGGUUUUCGGAUCGUAAAACUCUGUUGGUAGAGAAGAACGUUGGUGAGAGUGGAAAGCUCAUCAAGUGACGGUAACUACCCAGAAAGGGACGGCUAUAUACGUGCCAGCAGCCGCGGUAAU
rnacentral:rRNA from 1 species